rnacentral:rRNA from 1 species
GUGAACGCUGGCGGCAGGCCUAACACAUGCAAGUCGAGCGGCAGCGCGGGGGCAACCCUGGCGGCGAGCGGCGGACGGGUGAGGAAUUCGUCGGAAUCUGCCUUUUUGUGGGGGAUAACGUAGGGAAACUUACGCUAAUACCGCAUACGUCCUACGGGAGAAAGUGGGGGACCGCAAGGCCUCACGCAGAAAGAUGAGCCGACGACCGAUUAGCUAGUUGGUGGGGUAAAGGCCCACCAAGGCGACGAUCGGUAGCUGGUCUGAGAGGAUGAUCAGCCACACUGGGACUGAGACACGGCCCAGACUCCUACGGGAGGCAGCAGUGGGGAAUAUUGGACAAUGGGCGCAAGCCUGAUCCAGCCAUGCCGCGUGUGUGAAGAAGGCCUUCGGGUUGUAAAGCACUUUUGUCCGGAAAGAAAUCCCUGAAGCUAAUACCUUCGGGGGAUGACGGUACCGGAAGAAUAAGCACCGGCUAACUUCGUG